AGAACGAACGCUGGCGGCAUGCCUAACACAUGCAAGUCGAACGAGACCUUCGGGUCUAGUGGCGCACGGGUGCGUAUCGCGUGGGAACCUGCCCUUAGGUUCGGAAUAACUCCUCGAAAGGGGUGCUAAUACCGGAUGAUGUCUUCGGACCAAAGAUUUAUCGCCUAUGGAUGGGCCCGCGUUGGAUUAGCUAGUUGGUGAGGUAAAGGCUCACCAAGGCGACGAUCCAUAGCUGGUCUUAGAGGAUGAUCAGCCACACUGGGACUGAGACACGGCCCAGACUCCUACGGGAGGCAGCAGUGGGGAAUAUUGGACAAUGGGCGAAAGCCUGAUCCAGCAAUGCCGCGUGAGUGAUGAAGGCCUUAGGUUGUAAAGCUCUUUACCGGGAUGAUAAUGACAGUACCGGAGAAUAAGCCCCGGCUAACUCCGUACCAGCAGCCGC
rnacentral:rRNA from 1 species